rnacentral:lncRNA from 1 species
AUGACAACAACAACAACAACAACAACAACGCUGUAUAGUUCAAGUGUAUCACCCUCCCACAUGAAGCCAUUCAUAUGUGUGUGUGUGUGUGUGUGUGUAUGUGUGUGUGUGUGUGUGUGUGUGUGUGUGUGUGUGUGUGUGUGUGUGUGUGUGUGUGUGUGUGUGUGUGUGUGUGUGUGUGUGUGUGUGUGUGUGUGUGUCACAGGUAGCGUUGUACAAUGCGGACACGGAGGGCAGCGAGAGUCCCGGCAGCCUGGGAGGAAGUCUGAGCACCAGCCUGUCAGACCAGAGCCUGGCCUCCCUCAACCUCAACACGGCCAGCAGCACCGCCCACCAGUACCCCUCGGUGGGUAGCCACUCGGAGCAGCACACCCCCCCGCCGCCUCCGCCCGCGCCCCCUGCCCCUCCGCAGCCCCCCCAGUACGGGCUGCCGUCGGCGGGGGAGGCCCGGGACAAGCAGCCCCUCUGCUUCUCAGACUUCCAGGACCUCAGCGCCUCCUUCCGUUCCCUCUACCAGCGUGUCUUCCAGCAGUCCUUCUCCCAGCCAGGUGUGUGUUUGUUUGUGUUUGUGUGCAUGCACGCGUGCGUGUAUGAUGGGUGAGUGUGUGAGUGCAGUUCGUGUGUGUUGGUCGUUGUGUGUUUUUGUAUCUGUGUUGUGUGUGUGUUCUGUGACUUAGAGCAGUCUUUCUCCAUGCAUGGUGUGUGUGUGUGUGUGUGUGUGUGUGUGUGUGUGUGUGUGUGUGUGUGUGUGUGUGUGUGUGUGUUUGCGCGCGCGAACGUGUGUGUGUGUGUGUUUGUGCAUGCUUGAUUUUCAAUAUCUUUCUGCUCUCUUCCUUUCUUCCAACAAGGUGUGCACGUGUAAGUGUGCACGUGUCAGUACGGGGGGGGGGACGGACGCACGCGUUAGCCCUAGCGCUAGCUCGUCGAGCUGCGUGCUUGAUUGCCUUUUAGUGAGAACGCGCUAACGGCGCUGCAUGCUAGCCCGCGCUGCUACAUGUUCCUUGUGCAGCGAUGUCUGCACAACCUUGACACAAGGUUGUGCAUGUAACAACAACAACAAGCACGUACGUUUACACCAAGCAGCCUGCACUGUCAGGCUGCGCCCACAUAAUUAACUGUCAAGUGUACAUCGAACUGCAGUCGCUGUAGACAAAAAUGUUACAUUGUUUGGAUUGCAGUCAAAGCAUUUCACCACUCAAGCCGCCUCUUCGUCCUCCUCCACCACCUCCUCCCCCUCCUCCUCCUCCUUCUCCUCCUUUAUUGUGCUUUAAUAAACAAACAAUCUAUUGUUCCACAUAUCUACAGUUUACGGCUCGCUCAGUCAAAUGAGUAAAGGCAAUUAGCAGGCAGAGAUAUUUGGAGGAAGUGGGGGGAACAGCAACAGUACGAACACGUAUGCAGCGAAGCAGAGCCAAGAUUUCGAGGAGCUCCGAUAGCGAGCUAAUUAGAUUUCUUCUCCUAGCGCUGUGUUUUUUUUUUUUUUUGGUGAGGCAUCUCGCUAAUUGCUUCCUGAAGCCUCCGGUCGGGUCACGUGACCUCACCCCCGUCGCGUUCCGUAACCCUGUGAGUUUUGCGAUGCGCGCCACUGAGUGUUUGGCGUACGGCGGGGCGAUGACCCCUGCGUCUCCAAAACCGGCUCCCCGCUUCCUGCUGUUGUACCCCUAACCCUCAGAACACCAACCGAUUAUACAAUUCAAACGUCCCAUUGGUUCUGAGAUGAUGUGACAACAGAAUACCGAUUUAGUAGUUAGUAGAACAUCUAACAAGGGAAAGCGUUACCCCCCCCCCCCCCCCCCCCCCUAAGACGUUGGCUAGGGGAUAACACUGGGUGUAGCCGCAGGCGACGGUGAGUCUCUUUGAGGAGAUGAGGGAAUAUUUGCUUGUGACAACAGAAAGGAAGUCUGAUCAAACAAAGGCUCAGAGGAGGUCACAGUAAUAGGUUCAACAAAAAGGAAAAAAUCGAGAUAACUUUGAAGAAACAAAAAAAGAAAACGAGGCUCACUUCAAAGAGGAGUUUUUUUGUUGGAGCCCAAAACUGCGCUGAUAUUUGAUCAGGGGGUAGUUAGAGCGGUCGGUGACGUGUUCGUCCCCGAGGGGAAACGGGUUUAUUGAUGCAUUGGUUUGU